rnacentral:rRNA from 1 species
GAUGAACGCUGGCGGCGUGCCUAAUACAUGCAAGUCGAGCGAAUGGAUUAAGAGCUUGCUCUUAUGAAGUUAGCGGCGGACGGGUGAGUAACACGUGGGUAACCUGCCCAUAAGACUGGGAUAACUCCGGGAAACCGGGGCUAAUACCGGAUAAUAUUUUGAACUGCAUGGUUCAAAAUUGAAAGGCGGCUUCGGCUGUCACUUAUGGAUGGACCCGCGUCGCAUUAGCUAGUUGGUGAGGUAACGGCUCACCAAGGCAACGAUGCGUAGCCGACCUGAGAGGGUGAUCGGCCACCCUGGGACUGAGACACGGCACAGACUCCUACGGGAGGCAGCAGUAGGGAAUCUUCCGCAAUGGACGAAAGUCUGACGGAGCAACGCCGCGUGAGUGAUGAAGGCUUUCGGGUCGUAAAACUCUGUUGUUAGGGAAGAACAAGUGCUAGUUGAAUAAGCUGGCACCUUGACGGUACCUAACCAGAAAGCCACGGCUAACUACGUGCCAGCAGCCGCGGUAA